rnacentral:rRNA from 1 species
GGAUUGCCCUAGUAACGGCGAGUGAAGCGGCAACAGCUCAAAUUUGAAAUCUGGCUCUUUCAGAGUCCGAGUUGUAAUUUGCAGAGGGCGCUUUGGCGUUGGCAGCGGUCCAAGUUCUUUGGAACAGGACGUCACAGAGGGUGAGAAUCCCGUACGUGGUCGCUGGCCUUCGCCGUGUAAAGCCCCUUCGACGAGUCGAGUUGUUUGGGAAUGCAGCUCUAAAUGGGAGGUAAAUUUCUUCUAAAGCUAAAUACUGGCCAGAGACCGAUAGCGCACAAGUAGAGUGAUCGAAAGAUGAAAAGCACUUUGGAAAGAGAGUCAAAUAGCACGUGAAAUUGUUGAAAGGGAAGCGCUUGCAGCCAGACUUGCCUGUAGUUGCUUAUCUGGACUUUUGUCCGGUGCACUCUUCUGCGGGCAGGCCAGCAUCAGUUUGGGCGGUUGGAUAAAGGUCUCUGUCAUGUACCUCCUUUCGGGGAGGCCUUAUAGGGGAGACGACAUGCAACCAGCCUGAACUGAGGUCCGCGCAUCUGCUAGGAUGCUGGCGUAAUGGCUGUAAGCGGCCCGUCUUGAAACACGGACCAAGGAGUCUAACAUCUAUGCAAGUGUUUGGGUGUCAAGCCCAGACGCGUAAUGAAAGUGAACGGAGGUGGGAACCUUUUAGGUGCACCAUCGACCGAUCCUGAUGUCUUCGGAAGGAUUUGAGUAAGAGCAUGGCUGUUGGGACCCGAAAGAUGGUGAACUAUGCUUGAAUAGGGUGAAGCCAGAGGAAACUCUGGUGGAGGCUCGCAGCGGUUCUGACGUGCAAAUCGAUCGUCAAAUUUGGGCAUAGGGGCGAAAGACUAAUCGAACUAUCUAGUAGCUGGUUCCUGCCGAAGUUUCCCUCAGGAUAGCAGUAACGUAUUCAGUUUUAUGAGGUAAAGCGAAUGAUUAGAGGCCUGGGGGUUGAAACAACCUUCACCUAUUCUCAAACUUUAAAUAUGUAAGAAGUCCUUGUUACUUGAUUGAACGUGGACACUUGAAUGUACCGUUACUAGUGGGCCAUUUUUGGUAAGCAGAACUGGCGAUGCGGGAUGAACCGAACGCGGGGUUAAGGUGCCAGAAUAUACGCUCAUCAGACACCACAAAAGGUGUUAGUUCAUCUAGACAGCAGGACGGUGGCCAUGGAAGUCGGAAUCCGCUAAGGAGUGUGUAACAACUCACCUGCCGAAUGAACUAGCCCUGAAAAUGGAUGGCGCUCAAGCGUAUUACCCAUACCCCGCCGCCGGGGCAGAAUUUAUGCCCCGGCGAGUAGGC